rnacentral:misc_RNA from 1 species
AAGUCGUAACAAGGUUUCCGUAGGUGAACCUGCGGAAGGAUCAUUAGAAAAUUCUUUCUAUAUCAACACUUUGUGAACCAUAUUCUUGUCUAUCCCGUGAAGAAGCCAGUAUCUCUGGUGGGCACACGGGUUGAUAAACUCUUAUUGUUUGACUGAAACUUGUGAAGCUUAGACAACUUGUGUAGUUUAAGUGGAUCGAACUUUUUUAAUAAAACAAAACUUUCAACAACGGAUCUCUUGGCUCUC